rnacentral:rRNA from 1 species
UACGUAGGGACCAAGCGUUGUUCGGAUUUACUGGGCGUAAAGGGCGCGUAGGCGGCAAAUCAAGUCAGCUGUGAAAUCUCCGAGCUUAACUCGGAACGGUCAGCUGAUACUGUUUUGCUAGAGUGCAGAAGGGGCAAUCGGAAUUCUUGGUGUAGCGGUGAAAUGCGUAGAUAUCAAGAGGAACACCUGAGGUGAAGACGGGUUGCUGGGCUGACACUGACGCUGAGGCGCGAAAGCUAGGGGAGCAAACGGG